AUUUCAUACAUUUUGUUGUUCUUGGUCCAAGCUUUAAAUGAGUGAAUUAUACUCUCUGUUUACUUAAUUUCUGUUCAUUUGCCCAUUAACAGAGUGUAUAUAGAUAUAAGAAGUGGUAAGAAGGGAAACGGGUAUUGUCAAUUAUUGAUUGCACUCAUAGUAAUUUUUUUGAGAGUACAGAACUUUUGAAACUAUUAAUGAAGAUUCUAACACUGUUUUACAAAUGAGAAAGUCAAGACUUAGGAGAUUUUUUUUUUUGAGUCAUUACCUAGUUAGAAAUUGAACCCAUACCUUUGUAUUGCUAUUUAGUUUCCUAGUUUUCUAUAUCUAUCUUCUGGGACUCUGGACCAGAUUCAAGACAUGUGGCGAAUUGCUUGUUUGUAUACUUAAUUUCCUGGAGUGAAAUGAGUGUAUAUAAUAUGAAACCAUCAGCUUACUUACAUAGUCAUCAAUUUCCUAUGCCAACAAAACUUCUCAGUGUAAUGUUAUUAACCUUAUUUUAUAACAAGUCAAGAGAAAAACUUUUUUUUUCCUGUAUGAAGGAAUUGGACAAGAUAAGCAGGGUUGACAGAGAACCCCCAAAGCACUUGGCACCACUUCCCUUUUCCUGAAACAAGUACAAUAGAGGGUAAACUUUGGAAUUUUAAGACUAGUCACCGUUCAUGACACUAUUUAUUCUACAUUUGUCACAUAUAAUUUUCUCAGGAUACCUGAUAUCACCUCUCCCAGACAUUUGGUUUAAAAUUAAUUGGCAGUCAAUGGCAAGGCUACAGUCACUUAAAUUUGCUGAAGCGAGCACAGUGGCAUCUGCCAGAGUACAUGUCAGAUUGUUCUUGGAACGCCAAGGGCAAAAACCUGUGCUGGGGGAGGCUGUGCGGGUGCCACGGUGUCACAGGCCUCCUUCAACUCUUAAUUAGCUUGCCGGCAGUGGAGUCGUCCUCUUGCUGGCUGUCUGCGAUACCAUUCGGCAGGGUCACUGACCUUGGCAACUCUAAUAUUUAUCUCUGUAGAAUUGAGUUGUGACAGUAAAGGGCACUGCCCAGGUGGUUCCAAGUAUUUUAAAACAGCGAUGUGGAGACAGCACAUAUGUCAUUAAAUCUAACUAUCAGUGUUGGCGGUGACUAGGGCAGGACACAGUCCCUGUAGGUAGCAACCUACUUUAGGGUCAUUUGCACCAUGCCCCUUGCCAUCUCAUACUACUGUAGUGAUGUCAUUUUUUUUUUUUUUUUUAAUUUUUAGCCUAAACACACCAGCUGGUUAAAUGAUGUGGGGAGUAGUUCUUCUUGAUAAGAUACACGAGGAUGCUAGAAGUCAAUGGGGUGUUAAAUAGGGGUGGCCAACUGGCCUCUCAGUGACCAGCCUUAUCUCCUGGAUAAGUAAAAAGCCUACAAUUACAUGUGGGAAUUUCUAAUCAUCAGAUAAGCAAAACAGGUCUUUGCAGACCAGGUGGAAAGGUUUGAUUGUGAGAUAGGAUUUCAGGCCAAAGAAAGGGAAGUAACAAAGAGAGAGAGGAGAGGAGGGGAGACAGAAUCUCCCUAAUGAACUAGCACCAGAAAAAUCUUCUGCAAAGAAAGAAGAUAAAACAAGAAAUGAUCUCCAAAGGACAGAACUUAAGCUUUUGCAUUUUCUUUUGAUUCCUACCAGCGUGCCUAGAAAUAGCUGAUGUAGAACAAAUUUCACUGUAUGUCAUCUUAAGAGCUCCAGAAGGUUUAUUUCUGCAGGAGAUUAAGGUACAAAUAUUUCCAGAUUAGUUUCAGGGUGGCAAGAUCAACUCACAGCAUGAGGUCUCUGCCAUCAUAAAGAUGCUUCGUGGCACUUUUUCUUCUCUCAUAAAUGAAGUGGCAAAAUUGCCUCUUAAGUCAAAUGGGAGACGUCAAAUGCUCUCUUGUUAGGUGUCCUGGGGAGUGAGUGGCCUGUUUCCUGGGCUGGAGAGCAGGUCAGAAUUCAAGAAGGAUUCAGUUUUCUCUGUGGAACUGGACAAUCAGAAAAUAGCUGACCACACCUGUGUUGUACCAGUGAUGUCCUUGAAAAGAAACAUUUCUGCCCAUUCUGUUAUCACUGCAGUGAAUGUGCCUUAGGAGAACUGGACUGUGUGUGUGUGUGUGUGUGUGUGUGUGUGUGUGUGUGUGUGUGACAGAGAGAGAGAGAGAGUUAAAGAAAAUAUAUGGCUCACUGGCUACAAUUACUCUGAAAAAUAAAGGAGGAUAUAUUUUGACUUGAAAGGGGUAGAACUCCAGUCCUAUUGCAGCUGUAAUAAAAAGCUGAGCACCUAACCUGCUGUUGGAAAAAGUCAUUGGCUAAAAACAGAGCUGUUCACUUAAAGCACUCAGGUUCGGAAGCAACCUUUUAAAAUAAAACCCAGCGGAGGACCAUUUAAUAAAUAAAUGGUUUAAAUAGUAAGGCAUGCGAGAACAGUCUGUGUGUAAUCAAGUGUUUCCUUCUUUGAAGCACUGGUUCCAUUUAGUAGAAGCCCUGGAUCACCUGGGAUUUGGGUCCUGAGAGGGGAUGGCAAUGAAUAAGGGCUUAGCUCUGGACUUUACUCUGUCGAGGUAUUAGGAGCCACUUGCGUUCAUUGACUUCAGAGCUUCAUCAGUUUGGCUACAGAAGGGAUAACAGGAAGACCAAAUAAUAGAAUUCCAUUGGUUAAAUUGUAGGCACCUCCGCAUGAAUUUAGAAUGUAAAGAAAUCAUGGGGCAGACAAUGAGAAAUCCUUUGCUAUGUUCAUAGAUGGUCCAACAUUACUAAGAAACAGAACUAUGUUCUCGCCAUUAGUUCAUUCAUCCUUUUCCUAUAUUGUGGACAUUUAAAGAGUGGUAUUAUCUUAAGUAUGUUUUACCUGUGUACCUCAAGAAAGAGCUAUCACAUUGGCUCCUGCACCAUGAACUUGUGUUUUUCUGUUUCAUUCAAGAGGUAGGUUGGUGUGAGGUGGUUAGCCUUUCUCUGCUAAUCAUUCAGUCUUGCAUAUUUUGGAUAUAUAUGCCCUUUCUUUCCUCUGAGAACACACAAGAGAACCCUUAUACCUAAUGUCUUGAAUUAUCAAUUCAAAAUAUUUUCUCGAUAUAGCAGUUAUAUUUUAUUUUACAAUGUCAGAUUCAUAAAGCAUGAACUUGAUGUUAUAAUCCUAGUGAAUCAGAUUAAAUCUUGUUCUGGGAUUCCACUUGCCUGUAUUCAUGAUUGUCUUAUGGUCCCCCUUUUUUAGAAUUAUUCACAUAUUGGACUUGAGUAUCUUUGUAAAUGAUGGGAACACACUUUUCAAUGCUUUCGUCCUCCUUGGAGAAGUUGAUAAGAAAGAUUUUACUUAAGCAAUCAUAAGUGGACUGUGACCAUCCAAGCAUAUUUUUAUACAAGCUUGAUCCCACUGAAAACAAUUGAAUGGAGUAUUAGCAAUUAUCAAGAAAUCAACAACAGAUUUUAAGCAUCUUUAAAAAUACAGUUUUCUAGGCAUUUUGGAGAGAUAUAAGACCAUCCCUUGUCCUAGUGAAAAUCACUGUGUAAUUGGGAUAAGAAAAUAAAUACAGUGUGAACAAAGUGCCAGUGUAAGAGACAAAGAACUGUUCAAUUAAAUACGAUGAUGUCACAAAGCAACCCUUGAUUGAAUGAAUAGUGGAAAUAAUACAUGCUCUUCAGAGACUAGAAGAAAGAGAUAUGGCCCUGUACCUCCUGGCCUCCAAGGUAAAUGAGAGUAAAUGUAUUUCAGUGGAAUCCUAAAUGAUUCUUAGUGUUUACACAUUUAGUCCAAAGCAGAAAAGCUGUUAUAGAAUGCACAAAUGUAAAAUCAGGAGAAUUUAAAAGUGUUAGAUAUAAUGACAAUAGAAGUUAACUUCGUAUUGAAUACCUAACAGCUUUAUAUAAUGUUGAUUGAUCUUCAUCUCAACAUAUAAAUUUAAGGUAUGCAACUGGAAGGACUUAGUCACUGACUGGAUGUAGGUGAUAGUGGUUUAGGGAAUGAGGAAGAUAAACUUUGGGAGAAAUCAGCAAUAACCCCACGUCUUUAGACUUCAAAGAAUGUAUAGAUUUAUCUGAAAUAGAUGUUUCAUGAAAAGAGCUGGUUUGUGGGGGGAAAAAAGCACAAGCUGUUUCUGAGAUGAUUUCUAGUGAAUUGGAAUUAGAUGUUUCAAGGGGAAAUAUUUGAUAAGCAGUUAGAAAUUUGGGAACUGGAAUUAUACAGAGACUGAAUUAAAGAAACAGAGUUGAGUCGUAUGCCCAAAGGAAUAGUUCAAGUCACCAGAGUGUAUGUGGGAGCCAAGGGCUGUGACCUCUCCUUAGAGAUGUUUUACAUCUAGAGUGCAGUGAAACAAAGUGAGAUUUCAUUCUUCUCGUGUCAAGGUAACUUAUUAACAAUCAGGUUUCCUAUAAUGCUGCCCAAAGGUCCAGAAAUCCACAAGAAAACUUAUUUUUUAAUAGGGACAUGCAGAUUAAGGGGUAUGGAGAAGACCAAAAAGAGUGACUUAAAAAGGGACUGCUAGUUAUAGAGCAAGCAGAAUUUGUUUCAUUUCUAUUCCAGUGGUUGAUGGAGCAUGUGGUAAGGUUUUGUGUUGAUUUCUAAAAAAGCAGAGAAAGGCAUAACUUAAUGGAGAUCUUUGUUACUCAAGAAAUGGUGUGGAUUUUUGGAGGAGUUCUUGUUGUGGCUCAGUGGUAACAAACCCAACUAGUAUCCAUGAGAACAAGAGUUCAAUCCCUGGCCCCUGCUCAGUGGGUUGGGGAUCCAACAUUGCCUUGAGCUAUGUUGUGGAUUGCAACAUGCCUUGGAUCCUGUGUUGCUAUGGCUGUGGCAUAGGCCAGCACCUGCAGCUCUGAUUUGACCCCCAGCCU
rnacentral:lncRNA from 1 species